CGUAGGAAAUUUGAGAGGAGCUGUCCUUAGUACGAGAGGACCGGGAUGGACUGACCUCUGGUGUACCAGUUGUUCCGCCAGGAGCAUAGCUGGGUAGCUAAGUCGGGAAGGGAUAAACGCUGAAGGCAUCUAAGCGUGAAGCCCACCUCAAGAUAAGAUUUCCCAUAGAGUAAUCUAGUAAGAUCCCUUGAAGAACACAAGGUUGAUAGGUGAGAGGUGUAAGUGUGGUAACAUAUUUAGCUGACUCAUACUAAUAGAUCGA
rfam:Clostridium intestinale TRNW genomic scaffold scaffold1, whole genome shotgun sequence.